rnacentral:ncRNA from 1 species
AGAAACCCUGAGAAGGGGAAAAGUAAUUUGGGUCUUAUCUUGCAGAGAGCUGGUGAUAGGUGCGAACCAGUAGAUAACACAAAUGAAUUCCUCCCCAGAGGGGAUCUGCCGAAACACAGCGAGAUAAAGAAAAAGUUGUGCAUUAGGUGGAUACGGGAAGAUACCCGUUAUAACAAUUGAGUGGAUUAGAAGGAAUUUUUUUCUGAUCAACAAGGGUGGCAACGCGGGAGAAUACCUCUCGUCCCUAUC